rnacentral:rRNA from 1 species
GCAAGUCGAGCGCAGUCCUUCGGUACCGAGCGGCGGACGGGUUAGUAACGCGUGGGAACAUACCCUUCUCUACGGAAUAGCCUCGGGAAACUGAGAGUAAUACCGUAUAAGCCCUUCGGGGGAAAGAUUUAUAGGUGAAGGAUUGGCCCGCGUAAGAUUAGAUAGUUGGUGAGGUAAUGGCCUACCAAGUCUACGAUGUUUAGCUGGUUUGAGAGGAUGAUC